GCCAUCUCUCGUGUAUGACCUCUGAGGAGCUCCUCUUUGUUAUCUGCUCUGCCACCAGAAUGAUUUGAUAGAGCACCAAUGCUUUUCAGAGGGUGCCUCAUUAGUGAACCGUGGCACAGAUCAGGCCUCAGCAACAAAGAUUUGAGAUACUGGAGCGCAGCCCAUGAGUUGGGAGUGGAGGAAAGGAAAAGCUGCAGCUUGGCUUCUUCUCUCUGA
rnacentral:lncRNA from 1 species